AUGCCAAGACCCUGGAUGGGAACCCCAAUUCCUCCUUGCGACGGCAAUGACCUGCAGCUUUUUUCAGCUUGCACGGAGAUAUCACUUGGUAACGGGCAGAGGUCGCGGUUCUGGAAGGAUAGAUGGCUACAGGGCAUGGCUCCUUCGUCCAUCACCCCAGAGUUGUUUGCUUUGGCCCGUCGAAAGAAUCUAUCUGUUGCGGAUGCUCUUACCGCCAACAGGUGGAUGAAGGGCCUUCAAAGGAUGGAUAAUGUCAGGAUGAUUGAUCAAUUCAUUCAGCUUUGGGAGAUGCUCCAAUCUGUGACUCUCUCCGAUGAGCCUGAUUCUAUCUCCUGGAAGAUGAAUAAGGAUGGGGUUUACACUGCAAAAUCUGCAUAUGUUUGUCAGUUCUUUGGCCACAUUGAUGCGCCCUCUCUGCACACGGUUUGGAAGGUUAAAGCUGAGCCCAAGGUACGAUUUUACUUGUGGCUCCUGUUACAAAAUCGGAACUGGACUUCCGAUCGGUUGAUGGCGAGGGGAUGGCCUCAUUCGGCACAAUGCGUGCUGUGUGACCAAGAACCUGAGACGGCUGCGCACAUUACCCUGCUGUGUCCUUAUGCUCGGGAGGUCUGGUUCUCUUUCCAUCGUUCUGACGGAGCCGCUGCGGAGGCCGGCUCAACGAACAUCACUAUCAAAGGUUGGUGGCGACAAGUAUGGGCGCUACACAAGAGACCCGAGUUGGCUCCUGAGAUUACCACGGGGGUUUAUAUUGCCUGGAACCUAUGGAAAGAAAGAAAUAGAAGAACUUUUGAGGGUAAGAGAUGUUCUCCCGAGACUGUUGCUGCUUUAGCUAGAGAGGAGACGAGUCUGUACAGAGGCUUUUAG
rnacentral:rRNA from 1 species